rnacentral:rRNA from 1 species
GACGAACGCUGGCGGCGUGCUUAACACAUGCAAGUCGAACGGAAAGGCCCUGCUUUUGUGGGGUGCUCGAGUGGCGAACGGGUGAGUAACACGUGAGUAACCUGCCCUUGACUUUGGGAUAACUUCAGGAAACUGGGGCUAAUACCGGAUAGGAGCUCCUGCUGCAUGGUGGGGGUUGGAAAGUUUCGGCGGUUGGGGAUGGACUCGCGGCUUAUCAGCUUGUUGGUGGGGUAGUGGCUUACCAAGGCUUUGACGGGUAGCCGGCCUGAGAGGGUGACCGGCCACAUGGGGACUGAGAUACGGCCCAGACUCCUACGGGAGGCAGCAGUGGGGAAUAUUGCAGAAUGGGCGGAAGCCUGAUGCAGCAACGCCGCGUGCGGGAUGAUGGCCUUCGGGUUGUAAACCGAUUUCGCCUGUGACGAAGCGUGAGUGACGGUAAUGGGUAAAGAAGCACCGGCUAACUACGUG